UAGGGUAACGGGCCUACCAAGGCGAUGAUGCAUAGCCGAGUUGAGAGACUGAUCGGCCACAUUGGGACUGAGACACGGCCCAAACUCCUACGGGAGGCAGCAGUAGGGAAUCUCCACAAUGGACUAAGUCUGAUGGAGCAACGCCGCGUGAGUGAAGAAGGGUUUCGGCUCGUAAAGCUCUGUUGUUGGUGAAGAAGGACAGGGGUAGUAACUGACCUUUGUUUGACGGUAAUCAAUUAGAAAGUCACGGCUAACUACGUGCCAGCAGCCGCGGUAAU
rnacentral:rRNA from 1 species